CCUACGGGCGGCAGCAGUGAGGAAUAUUGGUCAAUGGGCGCAAGCCUGACCCAGCAACGUCGCGUGAAGGAAGAAGGCUCUCGGGUUGUAAACUUCUUUUCUGAGGGACGAAGAAAGUGACGGUACCUCAGGAAUAAGCCACGGCUAACUACGUGCCAGCAGCCGCGGUAAUACGUAGGUGGCAAGCGUUAUCCGGAUUUAUUGGGUGUAAAGGGCGUGUAGGCGGGAAAGCAAGUCAGAUGUGAAAACUCAGGUCUCAACCCUGAGCCUGCAUUUGAAACUGUUUUUCUUGAGUGCUGGAGAGGCAAUCGGAAUUCCGGGUGUAGCGGUGAAAUGCGUAGAUAUACGGAAGAACACCAGUGGCGAAGGCAGAUUGCUGGACAGUAACUGACGCUGAGGCGCGAAAGCGUGGGGAGCGAACAGGAUUAGAUACCCGUGUAGUC
rnacentral:rRNA from 1 species